ACAGAUCUGGAUCUACACCAAUAUACAAGAGUACAAAAUUGUUUUGUUUUCAUGAAAAUGUGCAGAAUCUUCAGUGGAUAAUGGUGCCUUGUUAAUAAAAAGUGUGAUUUGGAUUUCACGAUGCGGUUGUUCUCGGUUUACGAGUUCCAACGUUACUUACUGUGUACAGUGAUUGUAUAUCUUCACGGAUGUCUUGCUAAAGUGUGUGACCUGUGUGACUGUUCUAUCAGUGACUUGGAUACAGAAGUACCAGGAGUGCGGAAUAUCAACACUCUGUGCAACGCGGGGAGCAUCGAAUGGAUCAGCCCUUAUGGAGCUUUACGUGUUAGAACUAAGUUAUACGACUGGCGGACUAUAUGAAGCCUGCUUCAAAAUACAGACAGAAAAUGUGAAAAUUAAAGUGUCUCAAGAGUCGUGGAAGAACACUAAAUCUCAUUUUGCAGGCAGUCUGCCUCAGUCAUCAUUGCUCAAGCCAUUAUUUAGUGUCAAUGGCAGGACUAGCGAGCAUUGCAUGUAUUCGAACACUCCCGUCCUGCUAUAUUUAGAACCAGAGAGAACACAUGACAUGUCUGGAUUUCCUAGAAUGAAGUUAGAGUAUGUAUUAGAGAGAAAGACUCCGCAGCAUUUACAAAAUAGCUUGGAGGAUUGUAGACCAUGUGAUACUGAAGAGCUAAUCAGGUCCUACUGCACCAGUGAUUUUGUCUUCAUUGGUGAAAUGGGACGAGUCAGAAACAGAGACGAGGAUGAAAAAUCGGAAGUAGAAUUUAAGGUGACACGCGUUGUCCGGAAGUUGGGCGCACUACACUUCCGGACCAAUACAGACAUUCAGCAGCAAUAUGGCAAAAUAGUAGUCCCGAAGAAGUGUCAAGUGAGAAAUGGACGAGGAAUUUUCCUCAUCACCGGCAGUGUCAGGUUUGGCGAACUGGCUAAGACCUGUUCUCCAUACUUGUCAGAUUGGGAAAAUAUCGCAAAUAUUGCUCUUCGCGAAGGCAGAAUGGAAUGCCCGCUAGUCCUGUGACGUGGUCAUAUGGACUCCAUACAUACAUUAUGCUGUAAUGAUCUCAGACAAUACAAAUGGCAUUGUGCAAUGCAUAGGAGUGAAAUAUAGUUCAAAAAGACAUUCGUGAAGAAUGCAAAGUCAAAAUAUACAAGGCGAAAAGGGACCACAUUUUGAUUCGUACCAUAUAAGGCUUCUGACUGUGAUACUGCGUAUUGGUGCAAUGGACCAACCACAACCUGUUUACUGCUUGAUGUGAACAUGUACAUGACUUAACAAAGAGAAAAGAAAAACCGACUUGGAACCGUCUAAGAGACAACUGAAAAAAAUCACAAUUUCACUUCACAAAAUGACGAUCUCGUUUUUCUCUGUAAUGUGUUCAAAUCAUUGACUAUAAAUGCUUAAUUCAUCCAUUAAACAGUGGCUUCUCGUUCAAAUAUGAAAAUUACACGUAUGGACUGAG
rnacentral:misc_RNA from 1 species